rnacentral:rRNA from 1 species
UACCAGCUCUCCGAGUUGUAGGGAUGAUUAUUGGGCUUAAAGCGUCCGUAGCUGGCUUAGCAAGUCUCCUGUUAAAUUCAGCGACCUAAUCGUUGAGCCGCGGGAGAUACUACUAGGCUAGGAGGCGGGAGAGGUCGACGGUACUUUCGGGGUAGGGGUGAAAUCCUAUAAUCCCGGGAGGACCACCAGUGGCGAAGGCUGCCGACUAGAACGCGCUCGACGGUGAGGGACGAAAGCUGGGGGAGCGAACCGGAUUAGAUACCCGGGUAGUCCCAGCUGUAAACUAUGCGGGCUAGGUGUUGGGGUGGCUACGGGCCACUUCAGUGCCGCAGGAAAGCCAUUAAGCCCGCCGCCUGGGGAGUACAGCCGCAAGGCUGAAACUUAAAGGAAUUGGCGGGGGAGCACCACAAGGCGUGAAGCUUGCGGUUC